rnacentral:piRNA from 1 species
UGAGCGUUUGGGCAUUGUUUUGAAACAGA